GCCCUAACAGCCGUAUUCAUAAACAGUUAGAGCAUUGAUCAUCAGUUGCUGAUAACCGGAUGUCACAAAACGUGAUUCAUAAACACUUUUUAGCGCUAAACAGUUGAUCAUCUCUUUAUUAAAUCCUCGGAAAGUUAUGGAGCCGUGGACCCUUCUUUAUCUGUUUAUUAUCCCUAAAAUACAAGAUGGCGGUCACAAAACAGCUGAUUUUGACAAGACAGCAUUUCACAAAUUAGUGCAAACGUCGAUGAGACUUGUAUCGUAAUUUAGUGAUUUGGGUGUUCUUUUUGUUUAAAAAACGUCUAAAUUUAAUAAAUGAGUGGUUUAAUAUGUGUAAAUAAGGAGAUAAACCAUUACAUACCUAGAUAUAGUGCGCAAAUAGCGGGAAACCUAGAUAUUGUGCCUUUGCUAGGAGUUGUUUGCACGAUUGUAUGUCGCAUUCAUCAAGAUGUAAGCAAUUUAUGCGAUACGAACUGUUAUACCAUAAGACUAGACUUCUACGACUGGGGCACCGGCGUCGGAUAAAGCACCUCACCAACCUAUAUACCUAUCAUAAAAGAAUGAAAACUACUCCCGGAACUCCUACAGCGCAAAGAAUACAACCAACUUCAUUUGAUGGCGGUGUGCAGGCCGGUUAGAUGCCAGAAGAGUGUGGCCUCCGGAUUGUGUAGCCAGCUCCGGACAAAUAGCUGAUGAUGGAAUACUCACAACCUGAAAAGAACACAGUUUCAAUUAAUAUACUCAUUGAAUCAA